GCGAGCGAACGGGGAGCAGCCCAGAGUCUGAAUCAGCUUGUGUGUUAGUGGAACGGUCUGGAAAGUCCGACGGUACAGGGUGAUAGUCCCGUACACCAAAAUGCACAGGCUGUGAACUCGAAGAGUAGGGCGGGACACGUGGUAUCCUGUCUGAAUAUGGGGGGACCAUCCUCCAAGGCUAAAUACUCCUGACUGACCGAUAGUGAACCAGUACCGUGAGGGAAAGGCGAAAAGAACCCCGGCGAGGGGAGUGAAAAAGAACCUGAAACCGUGUACGUACAAGCAGUGGGAGCACCUUCGGGUGUGACUGCGUACCUUUUGUAUAAUGGGUCAGCGACUUAUAUUCUGUAGCAAGGUUAACCGUAUAGGGGAGCCGCAGGGAAACCGAGUCUUAACUGGGCGUUAAGUUGCAGGGUAUAGACCCGAAACCCGGUGAUCUAGCCAUGGGCAGGUUGAAGGUUGGGUAACACUAACUGGAGGACCGAACCGACUAAUGUUGAAAAAUUAGCGGAUGACUUGUGGCUGGGGGUGAAAGGCCAAUCAAACCGGGAGAUAGCUGGUUCUCCCCGAAAGCU
rnacentral:rRNA from 1 species